UCCCCGUUAUCCUGGGCAGUCCUUCCAGCCCGGUCCGGCCCAUGUCAAGCCUUGGUAAGGUUCUUCGCGUUGCAUCGAAUUAAUCCGCAUGCUCCGCCGCUUGUGCGGGCCCCCGUCAAUUCCUUUGAGUUUUAGCCUUGCGGCCGUACUCCCCAGGCGGGGCACUUAAUGCGUUAGCUACGGUACGGAGAACGUGGAAUGUCCCCCACACCUAGUGCCCAACGUUUACGGCAUGGACUAC
rnacentral:misc_RNA from 1 species